AAGUCGUAACAAGGUUUCCGUAGGUGAACCUGCGGAAGGAUCAUUAACACGUAUCCAACGUUAAACCCCCCGUGCACCUUCACAGAGCGCGCUGCUCCUCUCGACGUCAGCAAUCCUGGUAAAUCAGUGGCGAAAGUAGUCUUUGAUUCAGGACCUCUGAAGUUGUAAGCAGGCAGUUUGAGCCUUCUAUCGCCAGUCUGGAGUCCUGGCCGGGCGGAUGAAAGUGUCGCUAGACGGGACAGACUGCAGGGUGUAGUGCCCCUUUACGACGACCAAGUUAAAUUAGGCCUCUACCACAUAGCAAGUGCGCCGUGGUAGAGGAAAACGUACAACUGUUAACAAUGGAUAUCUUGGUUCUC
rnacentral:misc_RNA from 1 species